rnacentral:rRNA from 1 species
UCGGGAAUUUUGAGCAAUGGGCGAAAGCCUGACCCAGCAACGCCGCGUGAAGGAUGAAGUAUUUCGGUAUGUAAACUUCGUAAGAAUAGGAAGAAUAAAUGACGGUACUAUUUGUAAGGUCCGGCUAACUACGUGCCAGCAGCCGCGGUAAUACGUAGGGACCAAGCGUUGUUCGGAUUUACUGGGCGUAAAGGGUGCGUAGGCGGCAUAUCAAGUCACUUGUGAAAUCUCCGGGCUUAACUCGGAACUGCCAAGUGAUACUGAUGUGCUAGAGUGCAGAAAGGGCAACUGGAAUUCUUGGUGUAGCGGUGAAAUGCGUAGAUAUCAAGAGGAACACCUGAGGCGAAGGCGAGUUGCUAGGCUGACACUGACGCUGAGACGCGAAAGCGUGGGGAGCAAACAGGAUUAGAUACCCAGGUAGUCCCUGAGCGGGCUGGCAAGGCGCAU